UACGAAGGGGGCUAGCGUUGUUCGGAAUCACUGGGCGUAAAGCGCACGUAGGCGGAUGUGCCAGUCAGGGGUGAAAUCCCGGAGCUCAACUCCGGAACUGCCUCUGAUACAGCACGUCUUGAGUUCGAGAGAGGUGGGUGGAAUUCCUAGUGUAGAGGUGAAAUUCGUAGAUAUUAGGAAGAACACCGGUGGCGAAGGCGGCCCACUGGCUCGAUAUUGACGCUGAGGUGCGAAAGCGUGGGGAGCAAACAGG
rnacentral:rRNA from 1 species